CCUACAUGAAGCUGGAGUUACUAGUAAUCGCAGAUCAGAAUGCUGCGGUGAAUGCGUUCCCGGGUCUUGUACACACCGCCCGUCACACCACGGGAGUUGGAGACGCGCGAAGCCGAUUAUCUAACCUGUUGGAAGAAGUCGUCGAAGGUGGAAUCAAUAAACCGCCCGUCACACCAAGGGCGUUGGGGACGCCCGAAGACGAUUAUCUAACCUAUUGGAAGAAGUCGUCGA
rnacentral:rRNA from 1 species